rnacentral:rRNA from 1 species
CGUAGGUGAACCUGCGGAGGGAUCAUUACAGAGUUGCAAAACUCCCUAAACCAUUGUGAACGUUACCUAUACCGUUGCUUCGGCGGGCGGCCCCGGGGUUUACCCCCCGGGCGCCCCUGGGCCCCACCGCGGGCGCCCGCCGGAGGUCACCAAACUCUUGAUAAUUUAUGGCCUCUCUGAGUCUUCUGUACUGAAUAAGUCAAAACUUUCAACAACGGAUCUCUUGGUUCUGGCAUCGAUGAAGAACGCAGCGAAAUGCGAUAAGUAAUGUGAAUUGCAGAAUUCAGUGAAUCAUCGAAUCUUUGAACGCACAUUGCGCCCGCCAGCAUUCUGGCGGGCAUGCCUGUUCGAGCGUCAUUUCAACCAUCAAGCCCCCGGGCUUGUGUUGGGGACCUGCGGCUGCCGCAGGCCCUGAAAAGCAGUGGCGGGCUCGCUGUCGCACCGAGCGUAGUAGCAUACAUCUCGCUCUGGUCGCGCCGCGGGUUCCGGCCGUUAAACCACCUUUUAACCCAAGGUUGACCUCGGAUCAGGUAGGAAGACCCGCUGAACUUAAGCAUAUCAAUAAGC